CUGUGAGGUUUGGGGACCAUUCUUACUAUAGGUAAAAUAAAUUCGUUUGAGAUGUUUAAAACCAAAAUUUAUAAAAAACACCAAAUCAAAUAGAAAAACUCCAUUUGAAAUUCUGUAAACGAAUCCUAUAGGCGUUCAUUCAAGAUCAACAGAUUUAGUUGUCUGCGCAAGAUGACACCCUGAUUAUCAAAAAAUCUACACUUGUAACAAAAUAUUGGUUUCGCAUUUUUAACUAUGUUCAACUUUUACAGACAAGACUAGUAAUGCUGCAAGAGCAUGUAUGCAAUUAAAUUUAUACAACUUGUAAUAUUCACAAAGCAUUUUACUACAAUUAUAUGUAAUAUUCAUUGGACAAGUCAAUAAUUUGGAAGAAUACUAC